GCCCCAGCGCUCGGGUGGACAGUGAGGCCGCCCAGCACCCACGAAGCCACGGGCGUGGCCGUGGAUGAGAGCAGCUGUGCCAGGGCACAGAGGGGCUCCCACAUCGGCUUUCAGAUCAGGCUCUGAAGGGGACAAAGAGGCAAGGAGGGCGGAGCCAGUUCACUGGGGAGCGCCUUCUAGCCUGGCCCCCCUUCCCUGGGACACCUUGGCAAGGAAUCUCGCCAUCUGAGUCGAGGCUGCGAUCUGCACGAUGAAUGCCCAAUGGAGAGCAUCUGCUGGACACGGGACAGAGCGUCUGCUGGACACGGGACCCAGUCUCGCUCAGGCAGAAAUGGAGCCACCCAGAGUCACCUCCAAGGUGCGGUGACCGAAGAGCAGGCUUAGGUUCAAUGUUGGGGAAGAGUCCCCAGGCAGUGGGUCCUUGAGGGGACCCGGGGAAACCAGGGGCCGCCUUCACCUGGCACUUAAUACUCACACACCACCUCCCUGGGUCCACCUGGGGCAGGCGAGUGCAGCUGCAGGGGACCUUCUCCUCAUUCCCCGCCUGGGGAGGGGCUCUGUGUUCAGAGCUUGGGUGGGUGAGACCCGCUGCCGGGGGAGUCUGGGUGUCUGGGAGGGUGAGAAGGCCCGCAGAGUGUCCCUGAGCUCUGCCAGGGUGCAGAAUAGACAGGACGCCCAUUCCACGGUCAGCCAUGGAGCCUGCGGGGAUCUACUGGGUACCCGCUCUGCCAAAGCUCCAGAGUUCACGACGAUCCAGAUUCUGGGCAUGCACCACCCUCCCUGAGGAUCGGCACAUUUGUUCCUCCUGUGACAGGGCUGAGAGCUACUGAAUGCUCCGAUUAAAACUUCUGUGCGGCUUGUUUGAAGUGGACGGUUUAAAAAGGAAUGGGGACACCCUGGGAGGAGCCACAGGGAGUCAGGUGCAGGUGACACCAGUUCCACUCUGGUUUGUACAACCCAGGUACCUGGGAUCCUGUUCAUGGCCGACAGUAUGCCGGCACCUAGAGGAAUGGGACAUUGCUCGAAGCCGCUUCCCUUCCUCUGCCCCCCUACAAGGACACCUGAUGGACCAACCCUCAAGAGUGGCCUUUCUCUACCUGAGGUGUUUCUAAGGAGGACUGGAGGCCCUGGGGUGUUUAAGUGCUUCCCCUAGCUCACCCCGCUCCUGGUCAGCACUGGACGCUCACCAGAAAGCCAGGAUGGCCCAUCCCAACCUCCAGGCACCACUUCUGGCCCCACAGAUACCUUCUUUGCACCCAUGGGGUGAGGUGGACAGAGCCUGUCCAGUUCUGCACAGGGGGCCCUGCUCUGCAGGUGGCCUGCGUACUCCCUGGCAGCCUGGUCCCUGCCCCACGUGUCCCUCCUGCAUCAAGGCCCUUCCUGUGCGGCUGUCUUCCCUGCCCCUCUGCCCUCGGUGGGUUCUCCUCGCCAGCGCUGGAGGACCACGGCCCCGUGGGGAGUGGGUGUCUUGUUCAGCAGGUCUGGGGAUCCUGGUGACGCAGCAGGCCUGGCCCUGAGCUGGUGAGACGAGCGGGUGGCUGGGCGCUGUCCUGGACUGUCUUCUGUCUCCCAGCAGCGCCCUGGCCUUCCCUCCUGUCUGGCACCUGUGGCACUUGCCUUUACCCCUCCUCCCAGUGCCACUGAGGCGAGGUCGACAGAGAGCCCUCCAGGGAGAACGUGCGUGUGCCCGUCCAGCUCUGCCGCCCUCAUCUCAGCCUGACUCCGGUCUUUCUGAUGUAGGGCUGAGUCCUACGUGAAGGGGCUGCACUCAGAUGGUGCCUAGCUCCUCCUGGGUCCCCCAAUCUGCAGGACUAGACCGUGUGUCCGGGCCUGUGGGUGUGGGCUGUCCCCCUGAGCCACCCGAUACCAAAAAACACCCUACUGUCUCCAGAUCCCAGGGCCCCAGACUAACAGCCAUCGACACCAACAACCGCACACGUGUUGCAGAAUCGACUUCCCACGAUCCUCCGCAGAAUCUCAAGUCAGAAUUCACAGUAUGGACCACGUCCAGGAAGCCUGUGUUCCCGGGCGGCCGGGAACCCUGGAAGGCAGAGGCAGAGCUCCCUAAAGCUACAGUGCGAGCUGCCCGCACCUGGACUGCGGUUUCCAGUCUGAUUUACUGGCCUCCUGGAUGGAUUUUUUACUCUUAAUCUGCUCUAGUAAUUGUUUAUUAAGAUGUGAAACACUGCCCACCGUGGCGCCGCUCCGAUCCUGAGUGUCAUGGUUUAUGGCCCACGUCUGCACAUCAUUUAUGGGUUAACAGUGUGUACUGUGCCCCACAAAUCAUCUUAAUGGUCAUUUGUACAGCCGCCCCAGGAACGGGAUUCGCUGGCCCAUGACACCGGGAAGAACCCCGGCAAGCUGAAAGGGACCGUGAGGCAGAGUGAGGCUGGAGCGAACCCCAGGACACCAAGGACCAGCUCUGCACUCUGCUGGGUGCUUCUGCUCUGGUAGCCCCGGCUCCUGGCAUUUGGUGAGCAGCUACUACGCUCCAGGCACAGGGUCGUUCUGGCUUUCCCACCAGCUGGUGGGUGGCAGAGCUGGGACUCAAGUCAAGAUCCGAAGUCCACAAUCCACGGGUACAUGCUGGGUUGAGCUCUACAUUCAGACAGGGGUCAGACUACUUCCCUGGAUCCAAGGGAGGGCCCAGGUUGGUAUUGCUGACGUAAACGUCCACAGUCAGACCCUCCUGGAGAAGACUGUCACCAACCGCCCCACUCACCUGGCCUCCACCCACGCUGGUGUCCGUGACCUGCUCCUGAUGAUACCCUAAGGACAAGGGCAGAGCCCAGCCUGUGGCUUCUGUCCCCUCCCCUCCUCCGCCCGCCUCUCUCCUCUCCACCUGCUGCGCAUUCCCAGUUUCACGUGAAGAUUCUGAGCUCUUGGUCUGCGCGUGCUGCUCCCCGGCUCCAGUCCCGCUCAGUGUCCUCCCGGCUCCCCUCUGUGAGCAGCCAGGGCUUGGGGAAGGGCUCCCCGACCUCCCUGCACUGACAGACCCAGGAGGAGGGAGCCU